UUAUUUUUCCUCGGAUGCGAGAAGAUUUACCAAAACUUAUAAGAUUCUAUCUUGGGAAAUCGGUGCAAAUUUCAUCACAAUAUCAUCUAGAUUCAAGUAUUAAAUGAUUGGUAAAUAGAUGACAGCUAUCAUUAUACCCAAAACACAUACCAAGUACCUAAGCAAAAUAUUGUCUUUUUCUCAGAUCAUUUCACCAAAGUCGCCGAUUUGACGCGGCCGUUGCCAGUCUAUUUCAUACCUGCAGGAGCCGAAUUUAUUCAUUAACUUUAUAGCGAAUUUAUUAACUUAGUCCUUGACAACUCAUUUUCAAUCUUACUUGGCAAAUUUUGAUCUACAGAUGCAUUCCCUCGCCGCCGUUCUCUUGGCUGUGAUCAGCCUGAGCGCUUCAUGCCACGGCAAAAAAUACACGAAGUGCACGCUUGCAAGGGAGCUGAAAUGCGUCUACGGCUUUGCGCAGAACAGCCUCGCCGACUGGGUGUGUUUGGUUCAGCAUGAGAGCUCCUUCGAUACCGCGGCUUUUCAUCAAAACACGGAUAGUCAUAAAAGUAAAGAUUAUGGCUUGUUUCAGAUCAACGACUACUAUUGGUGUAAAUCGGGCACAGGCACCAACGACUGCAACAUCGAUUGUGAUAGUGAGAAAUUUUUUUGC